GAGUUGCGUCGUCAAACGACUCCACCACUGUCAAACUCGUCGACACACAAAAAAAGACAAGUAUUUUUUAAAUAUUUUUAUUUCUCUGAAAUGUAAGUUGAAUCUUCAGAUUCAACUACAUACAUAUGUACAUAUAUAAGAUAUGCCGGGUCGUUGAUGCUGAGGAAUGUCAAGUCAGCACAACGGCUUCAGGUAAAUUUAGCAAGUAAGAUUUUUAUAAAGAAUAUGUGAAGUCAGCACAACGGCUUCAGGUAAAUUUAGCAAGUAAGAUUUUUAUAAAGAAUAUGUGAAGUCAGCACAACGGCUUCAGGUAAAUUUAGGAAAUAAGAUUUUUGUAAAGAAUAAAAUGAUGAUUAAUAAACUGGACGGCAAGCCGCUCAGUACGGUAAA